GAUGAACGCUGGCGGCGUGCCUAAUACAUGCAAGUAGAACGCUGAAGGAGGAGCUUGCUCUUCUGGAUGAGUUGCGAACGGGUGAGUAACGCGUAGGUAACCUGCCUGGUAGCGGGGGAGAACUCUUGGAAACGAUAGCUAAUACCGCAUGACAACAGUUAUUGCAUGAUAACUGUUUAAAAGGGGCAACUGUUCCACUACCAGAUGGACCUGCGUUGUAUUAGCUAGUUGGUGAGGUAACGGCGCACCAAAGCGACGAUACAGAAUCGGCCCGAGAGGGGGGAUGGGCCCACUGGGAAUGGGGCACGGGCCAAGCCCCUUCGGGGGGCAGCAGUAGGGGAACUUCGGCCAUUGGCGGAAAGCUGACCGGGGAACGCCGGGUGGGUGAAGAAGGGUUUCGGGUCGUAAAGCUCUGUUGUAAGGGAAGAACGAGUGUGGGAGUGGAAAGUGCACACUGUGACGGUAUCUUACCAGAAAGGGACGGCUAACUACGUG
rnacentral:rRNA from 1 species